rfam:Bacillus cereus Rock3-44 chromosome, whole genome shotgun sequence.
UGGUGAUGCCUCCUAACCAAUAUCAAUGGAGACACUCGGCUAUGCUGUGGGUAGAUUAUUUCUACCUUAGACACAUUUGUUGUCAGAAGUAUGGUGUGAGGUCGGGUUAGAUGCCCG